GCUCCGGUGGCCUAGUGGUUAUAGCGUCCGACUCUGAUUCGGGAGGUCGUGAGUUCAAUCUGCAGCCGAGUCA